rnacentral:lncRNA from 1 species
GAUAAUCGAUUUUUAUGUUUAACAGCUAAAAUCCUGCAAAGCCAAAACUGUUAGAUAAUCGAUUGUAGUGUUGUAUAAUCGAUUAUGUCAAUUUUCCAGCAUAAUAAACAUAAAACGUAAAUGGGGAAUAAUCGAUUAUUGACUUUAGAGAAAUCGAUUAUUCUGCACCAGUGUCUGUAAUUCCCCCUGUCUUUGGGGCGAUACCUGCAAAAAAGAAUUAGGCGCCUCCGACGCUCAAGUUAGU